UACGAAGGGGGCUAGCGUUGCUCGGAAUCACUGGGCGUAAAGCGCACGUAGGCGGAUCUUUAAGUCAGAGGUGAAAUCCCAAGGCUCAACCUUGGAACUGCCUUUGAUACUGGGGAUCUCGAGUCCGGAAGAGGUGAGUGGAACUGCGAGUGUAGAGGUGAAAUUCGUAGAUAUUCGCAAGAACACCAGUGGCGAAGGCGGCUGACUGGUCCGGUUCUGACGCUGAGACGCGAAAGCGUGGGGAGCGAACAGG
rnacentral:rRNA from 1 species